CCCAAAUUUUUGAAAAUCCGCCUUCUACCUUUUUUCUAUCUUUCAUCUUCUCAAACGACUCUCCCCUCUCGGUUCAUAUCUCUCCUAUCCGAUCCGCUUAUCCACUACUCCUUACCUCCUUCUUAUCGGUCUCAUCAAACAUCUCAUUCCCCACCUUUGUCGUUGACCACUGAUCCUUCCCCAUUGAUUAUUUGAUCAAAAUCACCAAUUAUUGGAUUGAUUGUGAUUUGUCUUUUUAGGGUUUUUUCAGAAGAGACUGGAGAUCCUAUACUAUCAUAAAGAUCGGAGAUUUUUUAUGAUGAUAAAGCGGACCCAUCCACACUCAUUCUGCUAUCUACUGAAGUCGAUCUUCUUUCAUUCUGCUGAUAUUCUAAGAAAAGAACUAGAGCACAAAGCCUUUGUAAGGCUGAGAAUCAACUCUCAUCCCGAUCUCCAUUGCAGCAUCAAAUUUGAAAUCUUCUCAGUUGACAUCUUCCAGAGCCUUCGCGGCAAAGAAAGCCAAAUCCUUGGGUGCAAAGGCGGGCAAUAAGAAAGCUCAGCCUAAAUGCAAAGCCGGUGUGAAAAAAAAUUUGAAACAGGAAGAGGCUAUUGGUUCCUCUAUCGAUGAUGCAGCUCAUGACCUCAUCUCGGAUGAAAGAAACCAGAGGCGCCUCCUCGAUGAAGAUAAGCGCGAUAUGUCACUUGACAUCGGCCCCAACGGACGACCGUUGUUUACUUCCGUUGCUUCUUUAUUUGAACUCAGUAGAAAGGACACCUAUACUUAGAUGAAGUUUAGGAAGAAACUGGAGGAGGUGUUGCCGGAGAGAUUGCCAGUUAGAAUGGAGAAGGAGUUUGAUGAAUCAAUGAGAGAUGCAUUGCAAGUAAGACACAACUUCUUGGAUCUGCGAGAUAAUUACAGGUGUAUUAUUGAUCCACCAUAAUUGCAGGUGUAUUUUUGAUCCACCUUUGCAAUCUACUAACAGCAAAGGUUUCAGUUUUCAGAAGCAAAUAGUAUUAGAUGGGCCUGAAAGUUGUGGAAAGAGUAUUGCUCUUGCAAUGCUUGUUCAUUGGGCACGUGAUGAAGGGUGGUUGGUGUUGUAUAUAGUUUAUACUAUAAAUAUUGUUCGGAAGAGUGUUUUAAUAGCAACAAUGGCACUUGUUUUGAAGGGAAAUCCAUCAAGUUCAUCAAGGCCAGCUCUUGAAUUACCACAGAGGGUAAACUUCUAAUCUAUUUAUCAGGCAAGGUGUUCUUGGAAGCUGCCAAAUAUCAAAUAAAAAAGGAAGUGUACAAACCUUAGGAUAAUAACAUUUCAAUUGUUUAUAAUAUAAUUAAUAUUAUACUAUUUUCAUGACACCGAAAGUUAUAAAUGGAAGUGUUGUUAAUUACUGGGCUUGUAUCAACUUCUCAAGAACUGUUCCAGAUAGUGUUGCUCAAAGUUUUUGUCAUCAGUUGGUCCAAAUGUGCCAAAAAUCUGGCAUGGUAUGUGUAUAAUCAACUCAGGUAUUGUAAUUAUUGAUUAAGUACCAGUCAUUUACACUCGAGUCCAUAUGAUUAGAUGAUAAGGAACUAAUCCAGUUGAAUAAGUCCUUCCCUAAUCUUCAAGCUCUUAACUUGAUAGAUGUUAGAGGACUUAAACUACCCACAAUUUUCUUUUGUUGGUCUCUUUUAUACACAUUUUCUUUUGUUGUGUUUCUUUAGUCUUUAUAGCCCCUCUUUUAUACACUUCAUAAACACACAACAUCCUUUCAUGCAGUAAUUCCAAACAGAAGGGUAAAUUUGUCCUUAAACCUCACUCACUACACAUCUUAAAGAAAAUUUAGAUGAGUGGUUAACAGAAGAGCUGGAGAAUUACAUGGAAGAUGAUUAUCUAGUAUUUGAUUGCCCAUGGGCUAUUUCAUUCGGCCAGGAAGGUGAGGGAGGUGUAAUGGAGUACAAUUAGUCGGUCUCUACCCCUUUAGCUGGAGAGUACAAUUAGUCGGUCUCUUUUAUACACAUUUUCUUUUGUUGUGUUUCUUUAGUCUUUAUAGCCCCUCUUUUUAUUUUCUUUGUUUCAUUAACUGUUUUUUUGAGAAAAAAUUAUUUAUUAUUUUUGCAGUUUCUCUCAGCUAAAUUUAAAUGGUAAUUUAUCCAAUCUUUCAUGGUUAGAUCUAAGUGAUAACCAGCUUCAGGGACCCAUUCCUAUGUCUAAUGAAACAGCCCCUGGUCUUGACAGGUUAAAGAAUGCAAAACACUUGUAAGUUUUGUAUCUUAUGUACAUUGUCAGUUAUUAAGCUUUUAUAGUGAUUUUUCUCACCUGUGUUAUCUUAAUCUUAUGACAAUUAUGCAGCCAUUUAGUAGAUAAUCAGUUAUCUGGUGACAUUCGAUCUGAACUGUUCAGAUCAGAUAUGACUCUAAUACAUGUGUAAGUAUCAGAUUACCUGACGAAAGAUCUCAAGUAUAAUUGGUUAACAAAUAUAUAUACACUUUUCAAACAGGAUAUUCAAUAACAAUCAAUUAUCUGGAAAAAUUCCUUCCUUGAUAGGACUUAUGAGU